AAAAUGUGUAGGAUACUUCUGCAAAG
rnacentral:piRNA from 1 species